rnacentral:rRNA from 1 species
CGCGUAGGCGGUUUCUAAAGUCAGAUGUGAAAGCCCGGGGCUUAACCCCGGAAGUGCAUUUGAAACUUAGGGACUUGAGUAUGGGAGAGGGAAGUGGAAUUCCUGGUGUAGCGGUGAAAUGCGUAGAUAUCAGGAGGAACACCAGUGGCGAAGGCGACUUCCUGGACCAAUACUGACGCUGAGGCGCGAAGGCGUGGGGAGCAAACA